AGCUAAUACUUGCUUUAGCACUCUUGAUUUAUUUCUUGAGUGUGUACUUGUUAAGCCUUAUAAGAAAAGAGUUAUUAACUUAAGGAAUUAUAACAAAGAAGUAACACGUAAUGGAUUAUUCCAUUUUUUAGUGUGUAUCAAUCGAGUUUCUGACCUAUCAGCUUUUGAUGUUAGGGUAUUGGCCUAACAUGGCUAUGACGGGUAACGGGGAAUUAGAGUUCGAUUCCGGAGAGGGAGCCUGAGAAAUAGCUACCACAUCUAAGGAAGGCAGCAGGCGCGUAAAUUACCCAAUUCUAAAGAAGAGAGGUAGUGACAAGAAAUAACAAUACAAGGCCAAUCUGGCUUUGUAAUUGGAAUGAUGGGAAUUUAAAACCUUCCCAAAAUUCAAUUGGAGGGCAAGUCUGGUGCCAGCAGCCGCGGUAAUUCCAGCUCCAAUAGCGUAUAUUAAAAUUGUUGCAGUUAAAACGCUCGUAGUUGAAUUUCAAAGAAUCGAUAUUUUAAGUAACGCUUCUAGCUACAAAUCCACAUAACUGAUGCCUCCGCGUAUCGACUUUGUGCGCAUUUUAGCUAUUAUGUGUUCUUUUAAUUAAAAUGAUUCUUUUUAAGAUUCAUCUAUUAAAAAUUUGCUUCGGCAUAAUUUUUUUUGAUGAUCUUGUUACUUUGAGUAAAUUAGAGUGUUCAGAGCAAACAGAUAUAGCAUUUGUGCGUUUGAAUACUACAGCAUGGAAUAACAAAAUUGAACAAGUCAGAAUUUUUUUGUUCUUUUUUCUUAUUUUGGCUUAGUUACGAUUAAUAGGAGUAGCUUGGGGGCAUUUGUAUUCAGAUGUCAGAGGUGAAAUUCUUAGAUUUUCUGGAGACAAACAACUGCGAAAGCAUUUGCCUAAAAUACUUCCAUUAAUCAAGAACGAAAGUUAAGGGAGUGAAGACGAUCAGAUACCGUCGUAAUCUUAACCAUAAACUAUGCCGACUAGGCUUUGGAUGAAAGAUUUUAAAAUAAGAGUUUU
rnacentral:rRNA from 1 species